UACGUAGGUGGCAAGCGUUGUCCGGAAUUAUUGGGCGUAAAGCGCGCGCAGGCGGUCCUUUAAGUCUGAUGUGAAAGCCCACGGCUCAACCGUGGAGGGUCAUUGGAAACUGGGGGACUUGAGUGCAGGAGAGAAGAGUGGAAUUCCACGUGUAGCGGUGAAAUGCGUAGAGAUGUGGAGGAACACCAGUGGCGAAGGGGACGCUUGGGCAUGUAACUGACGCUGAGGCGCGAAAGCGUGGGGAGCAAACAGG
rnacentral:rRNA from 1 species